rnacentral:lncRNA from 1 species
AUAUAGUUGUCACAAUAGAAUAUCCUUUUAUCACGAUAAGUAUAGUAGCGAUUAGAAUUACUCAGUUUAUCAUUAGUUUUCAACCAGCUGUCAAUAUGUGGUCCACAUGGUGGACAAUAAUAAGAAAUGCGUAAAGGAGUUCGUGAAUGAAUCGCGUCAUGAGAUAUUUAAUUUCCCUAGUGAACCAGGGAGAUAUUAUGAAGGAACAAGCAAUGAACGAGACUCUCACCACCGAGUCACUACAACAAUUGGAGAAGGAGAAAUUUCACGCACAAACAAGAUAUGUACACCACCUCAAGAUGGAGGUAAAGAAAAAGGAAAUGGAAUGAAAGAAAUAGAGGAAACCCUUAAAUGGAAGGAAAGCACUAGAACUACACUUAAGGUAUAACCCAACCCCAAGGCUAGUAGGCUCAAGCUAAGAGAGUGAAUGCUUUGGCUAAAGUGCCAGAAGCUACAACAAGAAUAAAGUUGGAACGCCACCACAAUGGAAACUUAGAAACCCCCA